rnacentral:rRNA from 1 species
GGACCUGACUGCUAUCGGAUUGAUACUAAGCCAUGCGAGUCAUUGUAGUAAUACAAGGCAGACGGCUCAGUAACGCGUAGUCAACCUAACCUAUGGACGGGAAUAACCUCGGGAAACUGAGUAUAAUGUCCGAUAGAACAUUAUGCCUGGAAUGGUUUAUGUUCCAAAUGAUUUAUCGCCGUAGGAUGGGACUGCGGCCUAUCAGUUUGUUGGUGAGGUAAUGGCCCACCAAGACUAUUACAGGUACGGGCUCUGAGAGGAGUGGCCCGGAGAUGGGUACUGAGACACGGACCCAGGCCCUAUGGGGCGCAGCAGGCGAGAAAACUUUGCAAUGUGCGAAAGCACGACAAGGUUAAUCCGAGUGGUUUCUGCUAAAGGAA